GAUGAACGCUGGCGGCGUGCCUAAUACAUGCAAGUCGAGCGAACGGACGAGAAGCUUGCUUCUCUGAUGUUAGCGGCGGACGGGUGAGUAACACGUGGAUAACCUACCUAUAAGACUGGGAUAACUUCGGGAAACCGGGGCUAAUACCGGAUGAUAUUUUGAACCGCAUGGUUCAAAAGUGAAAGACGGUCUUGCUGUCACUUAUAGAUGGAUCCGCGCUGCAUUAGCUAGUUGGUAAGGUAACGGCUUACCAAGGCAACGAUGCAUAGCCGACCUGAGAGGGUGAUCGGCCACACUGGAACUGAGACACGGUCCAGACUCCUACGGGAGGCAGCAGUAGGGAAUCUUCCGCAAUGGGCGAAAGCCUGACGGAGCAACGCCGCGUGAGUGAUGAAGGUCUUCGGAUCGUAAAACCCUGUUAUUAGGGAAGAACAUAUGUGUAAGUAACUGUGCACAUCUUGACGGUACCUAAUCAGAAAGCCACGGCUAACUACGUG
rnacentral:rRNA from 1 species